AGGCCUAACACAUGCAAGUCGAGGGGUAGCAGGAUGUAGCAAUACAUUGCUGACGACCGGCACACGGGUGAGUAACACGUAUGCAACCUACCUUCUACAGGGGAAUAGCCCGGAGAAAUUCGGAUUAAUACCCCAUAACGCAGGGAUACCGCAUGGUAAUAUUUGCUAAAGAUUAAUCGGUAGAAGAUGGGCAUGCGUUCCAUUAGCCAGUUGGUGAGGUAACGGCUCACCAAAGCUACGAUGGAUAGGGGAACUGAGAGGUUUAUCCCCCACACUGGAACUGAGACACGGUCCAGACUCCUACGGGAGGCAGCAGUGAGGAAUAUUGGUCAAUGGACGAGAGUCUGAACCAGCCAAGUCGCGUGAAGGAUGACGGCCCCACGGGUUGUAAACUUCUUUUGUAUGGGAGUAAAAAGAUGGACGUGUCCAUUAUUGCAAGUACCAUACGAAUAAGCAUCGGCUAACUCCGUGCCAGCAGCCGCGGUAAUACGGAGGAUGCGAGCGUUAUCCGGAUUUAUUGGGUUUAAAAGCGAUAAGUAAUCCACCUGGGGAGUACGCCGGCAACGGUGAAACUCAAAGGAAUUGAACGGGGGCCCGCACAAGCGGAGGAACAUGUGGUUUAAUUCGAUGAUACGCGAGGAACCUUACCCGGGCUUGAAAUGCAUCUGACCGCUUAAGAAAUUAGGCUUCUAGCAAUAGCAGAUGUGUAGGUGCUGCAUGGUUGUCGUCAGCUCGUGCCGUGAGGUGUCGGCUUAAGUGCCAUAACGAGCGCAACCCACAUUGUUAGUUACUAACAGGUCAAGCUGAGGACUCUGAACAAGACUGCCAGCGUAAGCUGUGAGGAAGGUGUGGAUGACGUCAAAUCAGCACGGCCCUUACGUCCGGGGCGACACACGUGUUACAAUGGAUGGUACAGAGGGUCGCUACCUAGUGAUAGGAUGCCAAUCUCGAAAGCCAUUCCCAGUUCGGAUUGGAGUCUGCAGCUCGACUCCAUGAAGCUGGAUUCGCUAGUAAUCGCGCAUCAGCCAUGGCGCGGUGAAUACGUUCCCGGGCCUUGUACACACCGCCCGUCAAGCCAUGGAAGNCUGGGGGUACCUGAAGUACGUAACCGNCAAGGAGCGUCCUAGGGUAAAACUAG
rnacentral:rRNA from 1 species